GGGCAGGGAGCGAGGGAGUCUCUCCAGAGUACUGGGAGGGCGACAGAGACAGAAGGAUUAGAGAUUAUUUUUGCCAAAAUCUGGAGCGCGGGUCAAAAUUCCCGGACGUCACGACUCUGCUGUCAACAGAUGGCUGAAACUACUUUACUUCCCAUAAAGGCAAAGGAAUACCUUCGAGUCCAGGAACUGUGGUAAUUAAUGCCACCUAGUCUUUACCAUUCAUGUAUUUCCUACUGAUCCUUAUAAGUUGGGAAAAAUCACUUGGAUUUUUCUGAAGUGUAUUUUUAAGGAGGGCACCCGGUUUUGAUUUGAAGCCAUGAAGAGGCUGAAAGUUUGUUAAUUGUCCUUGGUAAUUUGUUGCAAUUGUUUCAAAUAUAUUCCUUUUAUUUGGACCUGCCCUCUGUUAAACCUUCUCUCUCUUAAAUCAGAGAUCUUCAUGAUACGUGGCAUUUGGUCAUCACGAAACUGUCAACUCAGCACCCAACUUUGUUUUGAUAAGCUGAAGAAAUCAAACUCUUUGAGACUUUCAUUUUAAGACAUUUUCUCCUGUUUUCAAAAAGUCAUGGAGCAAACUUGUAUAUCAGGCCUCUGACUAUCUACUUGGCUUGUUCACCAACACCCUGAGACAAGGCUUGAUGCACAUUUCUGAUGUGAUUUGGCAGGUUCUGCGAAAAUAACCCCAAGAGUUGCUGCUUUAUUGCUUGUCACACAAUAUUCAGACAUUUUUCAUUCAGUUGUAUAUUCUUUACAUAAUCUUUUUUUUUGCCACUUUCUAGCUUUAUUCUUGCCAUCAAACAUUUCCAUUUAUUUUUCUAUUGGCUUCUUUCCUCAAGAUGAACCCCCUGGUAGGACGCAAAUCCAGACUACUUUCACGUCUUUCUAAGACUUUAUGUUUUAGUUACAAAGUUCCUUCUCUGCAACUGGGAAACUUCUCUGCCCCUACAGAUAUGGUUACAUAUACUUUUUAAAAUGUCUAUCAAAUACUGAAGUUGAUACCUCGCAGGGAUUCAGAGAAAAAAUUACAUUUUACAAUGUUUCUUCAGCUGCAAUAUUCGA